UACGGAGGGUGCAAGCGUUGUCCGGAUUUAUUGGGUUUAAAGGGUGCGUAGGCGGCUUUUUAAGUCAGCGGUGAAAGACAACAGCUCAACUGUUGCAGUGCCAUUGAUACUGAAGAGCUUGAGUACAGAUGAGGUAGGCGGAAUUUAUGGUGUAGCGGUGAAAUGCAUAGAUACCAUAAAGAACACCUAUUGCGAAGGCAGCUUACUAAGCUGUAACUGACGCUGAGGCACGAAAGUGUGGGGAAUCAAACAGGGAUUA
rnacentral:rRNA from 1 species